rnacentral:misc_RNA from 1 species
GGGGCGUGUGAGUGGUGUUUGGAUUGUCUCUGCCGGCUGGCUCCGUGCUCGUCCACCGAACGGUCUGCAGGCAAUCCGCGUCGGUUGUUGUGAGGUGGGAUGGUGCCUUAGAGGCUGGUUCUUGUGUUGCCUACCCCUUCAAGGGAAGCAGGCCACUUGCAGUUAGCCUCCAUCCGGCGCCUUCCAAUUGGCGUAGGAGGACAAAGAAGCGCACCCCGUGCUCCGUCGAGCCUUCAUCGGUCGCGUGGCCUAUGGGGAAGUGCAAUGCUCUUGGACCCAGCGCAUGCCGUGGACGAGGACUCAUGUCCCAGUCCUAAGAGGAGCUUUGAUGUAUAGUGCGUGACGGCCGCUCUCGACCCUCGACCGCCUCGGCGGUGGAAGGGCGACGCGCGACGUCGUGGAGGAUUGCUACCUGGUUGAUCCUGCCAGUAGUCAUAUGCUUGUCU